rnacentral:rRNA from 1 species
CACGUAGGGUGCGAGCGUUGUCCGGAAUUAUUGGGCGUAAAGAGCUCGUAGGCGGUGUGUCGCGUCGGCCGUGAAAACCUGCAGCUUAACUGUGGGCGUGCGGUCGAUACGGGCAUCACUGGAGUUCGGCAGGGGAGACUGGAAUUCCUGGUGUAGCGGUGAAAUGCGCAGAUAUCAGGAGGAACACCGGUGGCGAAGGCGGAUCUCUGGGCCGUGCCUGACGCUGAGGCGCGAAAGCUAGGGGAGCGAACAGG